AAUUCACUGCGACGUUGGUGACUGCCAAUAUAGUUUGUUGAUCUAUGCUUGACUGAUAAGGGAGCUUUAGUUUUCGUGGCAGUAGACCAGGCUUGUACCUGGAAACUUUUAAACUGGAAACAUUGGCACCCACCUGGGGAUAACUCAGGUCAUAAACUGAGGUAAAACGGCGUUGCGGUGGAUCU
rnacentral:other from 1 species